AGCAGCCGCGGUAAUUCCAGCUCCAAUAGCGUAUAUUAAAGUUGUUGCAGUUAAAAAGCUCGUAGUUGAAUUUCGGGAUCAAUAUAUCGGUCGUGCCUUGGUACGUACUGGUAUCAUUGGUUUCUCCUUUCUGACGAACCAUGAUGUCAUUAAUUUGGUGUUAUGGGAAGUUAGGACUGUUACUUUGAAAAAUUAGAGUGUUUAAAGCAGGCUUUGGCUUGAAUACAUUAGCAUGGAAUAAUGAAAUAGGACGUUCGAACCUAUUUUGUUGGUUUCUAGGAUCAACGUAAUGAUUAAUAGGGAUAGUUGGGGGCAUUAGUAUUCAAUUGUCAGAGGUGAAAUUCUUGGAUUUAUUGAAGACUAACUACUGCGAAAGCAUUUGCCAAGGAUGUUUUCAUUAAUCAAGAACGAAAGUUAGGGGAUCGAAGACGAUCAGAUACCGUCGUAGUCUUAACCAUAAACUAUGCCGACUAGGGAUCGGAUGAUGUUAAU
rnacentral:misc_RNA from 1 species